GGGUACAGGUCUGUGAAUCAUCAGGUGUACACACUUCACAGCACUCACCAUAGCCCAUACCCUCCCCAGUGAAGACAUUUCUUAAGCUCCUGUGUUAGAUGGUUUUGGUGGGAAAGACAGCCCAACCCAGACUGCACUCUCGGGUGCUGCCUGCGUGGAGCAUCAUGGCUCUGAAUUUCUCUGUGGCUCUGUGACAAAUAGAUAGAAGCAGCUAACUGUUGAGAUGUAGGUCCAGUUAAGGCAGAUGGUGUGAUGGCUGAGAAGACUAAUGGGUAAGAAUGCCAGCAGCCGGAGG